ACCUGUCCUGACCCCUCAAGCUGCUCGCCUGCUGCUGACUUUCCCACCUCUGCUCCUCCAUGGUGAUGCUCACUUGGCUUCCUCAUCUAAAUAACAGCUUUUACAGUUUGGAAAAAGUCUGAGGUGAGGUUUAUGAUACAGGUAAAACCUUCAGCUAGAGUGAGGUGGAUGUCUGCUGUGUUACUCUCCAAAAAUAUAACUCUCUACUGAACCACAGAUUGGUAUUAUAAGGGCUGUUCUUGGCUCUCAGUUCCUGAAGGCACCUGGAAGCACCUGUGGGUAUGCCUGCCUUUCUCUUCAGAGCAAGCCUUCAAACAGACCUGAAGCCUGUGGAGAAGUUUGGAUACCAAUAUAAAUGAAGCAUCACAGUGCAAAUAGCAUUCAAAAUAAUGUCUGUCGUCCCUCGGGAGGUGUAGUGCUUUGGUAUUUGGAAGUGAAAGAUACUUUAGGAGUUAAUAGCAGCACCCAUGUAUCCAAGAAUACAUUUCCUUACCUGAAAUAUCUGAAAAUUAUUCAGAGAAGACUGAAGAACCUGUUGUUGUCCUGUUUCUUCUGCCUUUUGUCAGGUAGGGGACGGGCUUGAGAAAUUACUAUAUUUUUUUCUAGCGUGAAGGCCAAUGACGGCCCAAUCCACUGUCUGUUCGUUCUCCAUAAAUAUGCUAAGUCAUUUUAUAAAACUAAACAUAAAGGCUGGAAAACAUUAUAGGGAUUUUAAGAAAGCCUUUGUGAACACGACGCUGUUGUUUGCCAGCUGCCAAGAGUUUUGUGGGUCGGCUGUCUGCCUCCGCCAGCAGCAGAAACAAAAUACGACAGGGUCAGGCAGUAAUGGGGCUGCUGCCGCUUUGCAAUUUCUUGGUGACAGUGAUAGAUUUUAAAACAAAUUGGUGCUUAGGUUCCAGAGGAAAACUCCUCAGAAGAUUACAGAACUAUCAAGAGGGGUCAGAGCCAGAGCCAAAUGUGUUUGAUGGUGUUUUGCUACCUCAAACCUGGCGCUGCUGUGUGGGGCCUACAAUACCCAGGUGGGACUGAUGGUUCUAAUGCUGAAAUACUGCCCCAGCCCCGUCCUACACACAUUUCAGGACAUUUUUUUGAUGCUCUUCCUCUAGAUGGGGAAAAGAAGUAAAGAGGAAUCCUAUCACAGAUGAAGUUGUUUGCCCUGUCCCCGCCAGCUAUUCGUUAUACCACAGGCCAAAACCAAUCAACAGGGAAAUAGAUAUCCUGCCUCAUCUGGUCAAGACCCAAGUUGUCAGCAAGUUUACCUUGAUGAAAAACAAAUCGUCUGAGGACAUCCAGUCCCGCAACACGUUCACUGGCAAAAACAUAGGGUCUGGAGACCUUUAAAUGACAAAAGGAUCCCACAGAUGCUAAUGGAUAAUUUGUGAUUUAGAGAUGAAAAGAGCAAGCUGUUGGAAAUCUAUUUGUGGUACAGCUGGGGCACGGAGGUGAGACCUUCUUACCCAGUCCCAAGUGUUCUUUUAAAGACUGCCAGUCCAUACACAGUUUUCUGAUACAAAUAUAAGUAAUGAAUUAGCCAUCACCAAAAAUCUCCCAGACCCUAACCGAUAAAGUAGAGGAUAUUAAAGAAGGCACCUGGGAAUUCAAGAGCUAAGUGAAAGUAUUGACUAUGCCUAGGAAAGGGAUAGCUAUUUGUCUUUGCUGAAAAAAUAAAUCUGCCAUCAUUGCAAACCCAAAUUGUACUAUUGCCAUGUUAAAACAGCACAAUUAGACUGGAAUUACUUUUAUCUCUGUAGAGCAGACAGCACUGAUGGUUGCUAUACUUAGGGGUAGAUAUCCAUACUAUCGAACCACGCUACAGCAAACAGGCAAACAAAAGAAAAUUAAACCUGAACGCUGAGAUGACCCUGAGAUCGGGGCUUCGCUGUCAUUGUCUGUCCCAUCACUCAGCAGGGACAGCAUCUACUUGCAGGUUACCUGCACUUCCCGGUGUUCCCAGAGACCCAAAAACUGACUUCUGAGAAUAAAUUGCUGGCAAGGGUAGGCAGAAAACAUCUUCUCUUGCUCAGGUUUGAAUUUAACGUUAAAUAAGACAAUCCUGAAUUUUGUAUUUUUUAACCUGCUUAUGAUAACUCCUUCUAUUUUGCUGUGAAACUGCUGGAAGCAUGCAGCAGAAAUUACAUGCUGGUUGCAAAGGGAGAUGGCACCACUGAGCAUCUUGUUACUGGUAAGUUGAAGUAGAUUAAUACUCAAAAUAUCCUUGGGCUUCAGCUGCCAAUCUCUUUAAUCAGAUCUACUGUCUUUUGCUGUCAUUUCCACAAGUACUACACUCUAAAUUAGAGGCUGGAUCUCUUCACGUUGUCAUUAAAGAACUGUGAAAGAGCAAUGGCCACGGUAGACAAUGAUUAUUUUGACAAGGGGAUCAUAUUAUACCUCUGUACUCUCCCAGAGCAAAUCAUACUUGAUCAUUAUAAUCGAGAGGUGCAUUUCUUCAGACUGAGGACUUCUAUCUUUGUAGCGUUUCUUUUCAGCCUAGAUUAUUACUUGUUUCCUUUCUUCCCUGCCAUUAAGCACUACACUAGCAGGUAUAGAGUUUUAUCCUUUGCCAUCCCUAUAAUCUGCUGUUAUUUCCACAAGAUAGCCUUUUGAAUAAGGUAUUUCAAUUUCAGUGAUUUGAUUCCUUUACCAAUAUUUAAAUAAAUAAAAUAAGCCAUAACAAUCCAAUUUAGAGCUUACACGACUGCAUUCACUUCCUUUGAUCCCCAAACAUUUGAAAUGUGAUUCCUUUCCUGUGACAGCACAGAUACCGUCAAAUAGAAACAUCUCUCGGCUGUAUUCAGUACAGACCUAUCACUUUUAACAACUUUCACUUGAAAAAAAAAAAAAUAAUAAUAAUUUAAUAACCUUAUUCCUUGCAAAGUGAUGAGUGGAACCAUUUUUGUGGCUUAAAUUAUUGAUUGCCCUGAGGCAUCUCAUUUCAAACAUUUUCAAAAGGGAAGCAAACAAGAAUAUAUUUUACAAAUAAAAAUCAGUUUAAUGAAAAUUUCCAUAAGACAAAUUGAUUAUGAUUCACACUUGGUUUUGAUUAAAAAUGUUUCAAAAUGAUUUUGGAAACUAUUUUUCUAGUUAUACUCCUGAACUCUUUAUUUACUGAAUUUUGUAAUGUUCACAUGGAUGGAAACUAAAAAGAGAAAGUUGAUUAGAGACUGACUGAGUUUUUCUAAAAGGGAGAUUUACUGAAAUGGAUCCUUACUUGCUAAGACUGCAGAAUAUAUAUAUAUGUGAUUCACCAUACGGAUGUAGGAAAAUGUUCAAAUAUUUGUGUAUCAAGUUUCAGACUUUCAUAAAUGUUUGCUACAGCAAGUAACACUGACUGUAAAAUAGCUUUUUUUUUUUUUUUUUUUUUUUUUUUUGCUAUAGAAAGUAACACUGACUAGAAAAUAUCUUUUGGCUUCAAAUGACACAUUUGAUUCAG